rnacentral:rRNA from 1 species
CUACGGGAGGCAGCAGUAGGGAAUAUUGCGCAAUGUGCGAAAGCCUGACGCAGCGAUGCCGCGUGAGUGACGAAGGUCUUAGGAUUGUAAAGCUCUUUUCUGAGGGAAGAAUGGUCCGGGUAGGAAAUGAUCUGGAUUUGACGGUACCUCAGGAAUAAGGAACGGCUAACUCCGUGCCAGCAGCCGCGGUAAUACGGAGGUUCCAAGCGUUGUUCGGAAUUACUGGGCGUAAAGGGAGCGCAGGCGGAUAGGUCAGUUCAAAGUGGAAUCCCAGGGCUCAACCCUGGACGUGCUUUGGAUACUGCCUAUCUUGAGUUCGUGAGAGGAAAGUGGAAUUCAGGGUGUAGCGGUGAAAUGCUUAGAUAUCCUGAGGAACACCAGUGGCGAAAGCGACUUUCUGGCACGAAACUGACGCUGAGGCUCGAAAGCAUGGGUAGCGAACGGGAUUAGAUACCCCUGUAGUCC